ensembl:scaRNA
UGGAAAUGAUGAAAUAGAGAUAAUUGGGUGUUGAAUGUUGUGUGAUUGGAAACCUUUUUUUUUAUGUGUAAGUUAAGUAAUUUAAGCUUAAUAUUUUAUAGAUAAUAAGAGAGUGUGUGUGCGUUUGUGUGUGUGUGCUUGUGGAGGCUAUUGAAAGGGGGCACUGACGGGUGAUGCUGAUAUUGGAGUGCAUCUGAGGCUGUUGUUAAAAUACAUGGGUUGUUGAUUACAACAUUGCCAAUGAUUAUAACCCAAGAACAGCUCACCUAAGUAGCCUAGCACCCUAAAAUCUCUAACAGGUUCAUUAAACAUGGCCCUGUGAUCUGAUCCAA